rnacentral:rRNA from 1 species
UACGGGGGGGGCAAGCGUUGUUCGGAAUUACUGGGCGUAAAGCGCGCGCAGGCGGCGAUCUACGUCUGGGGUGAAAGCCCGGAGCUCAACUCCGGGACUGCCUUGGAUACGGGAUCGCUUGAGGAUUGGAGAGGCAAGGGGAAUUCCACGUGUAGCGGUGAAAUGCGUAGAGAUGUGGAGGAACACCUGUGGCGAAGGCGCCUUGCUGGCCAAUUACUGACGCUGAGGCGCGAAAGCGUGGGGAGCAAACAGG